UGGGGAAUUUUGCACAAUGGGGGAAACCCUGAUGCAGCGACGCCGCGUGAUUUAGAAGGCCUUCGGGUUGUAAAAAUCUUUUGCAUGGGAAGAAAAUGACAGUACCAUACGAAUAAGGACCGGCCAAUUACGUGCCAGCAGCCGCGGUAAUACGUAAGGUCCGAGCGUUGUCCGGAAUCAUUGGGCGUAAAGGGUACGUAGGCGAAUAAGCAAGUUAGAAGUGAAAUCCUAUAGCUCAACUAUAGUAAGCUUUUAAAACUGCUCAUCUUGAGGUAUGGAAGGGAAAGUGGAAUUCCUAGUGUAGCGGUGAAAUGCGCAGAUAAUAGGAGGAAGACCGGUGGCGAAGGCGGCUUUCUGGCCAUAUACUGACGCUGAGGUACGAAAGCGUAGGUAGCAAACAGG
rnacentral:rRNA from 1 species